GUGUUUGUUGAAGGAGAGAUGGUUGGCAUCUCCCUGCCUACAGGGAAGGGGAUUAGGUGACAGCCUUUGGACUUUCCUGUUAAAACACACAGUUAAAUUAAUCUGAGUCCAUCCUCUCUCGAUUUGCAUUCACCAAUCCAU